rnacentral:rRNA from 1 species
UACGUAGGGUGCGAGCGUUAAUCGGAAUUACUGGGCGUAAAGCGUGCGCAGGCGGUCUGUUAAGACAGAUGUGAAAUCCCCGGGCUCAACCUGGGAAUGGCCGUUGAAACUGGCGAACUGGAGUGUGGCAGGAGGGGGGGUGGAAUUCCACGUGUAGCAGUGAAAUGCGUAGAUAUGCGGAGGAACACCGAUGGCGAAGGCAAUCCCCUGGGCCUGCACUGACGCUCAUGCACGAAAGCGUGGGGAGCAAACAGG